GAGUCAUCUGAGGAGAAUUCAACUCUUUCUUCUUUAUAGGUGUUUCAUGUUUGGUGCCGCAAGUCCGUGGUGGCUGAAAUGCCUUCUGUGCAGCUGGAGAAACAAAUGUACAGAUGGGACUGACAGGUGGAGGGAAUAUAAAUCUGAUGAUGGACGCCAGAUACUCAAUGAAACUAGAUAAAGAGGAAAAAGACAAAAUGGAAGGACUGAUAAGCAUUACAAUUCUUGUAAAACAAAUACCGUAACAACAAAGAUCCAAGGAUGAUACCAUUGUUCUGUGGGCAGUGGUAGCCCAUUUUUGCUCCUCUGAUACACGUUAACUUUGUACUUUAUCUAGCAUUUGAACUCAUUUCAUUAAAUUGUAAAUGUACCUCACUGGUCUGGCACAUUACUGAGGACCCCAGAAAUGCACACAUCCUCUUUGAGAAACACACCAUUUCAACACAGCACUUGCCCUAAUGGCCAGAAGACCGACUACAGCAUCCCGCCGUAAAGGAGGAAGAUUAAGACUCACUGGAUGCCCUGUUACUCUCUCACCUCCAGGAACUGUACAAAAUGGCUGCCCUGAAACUGAUAAAUUGCUUGAAGAUUUUUCCAAAGCCCCGUGUUCACAAAAAUGAGAUUGAGACAAAAAUUCUUGACCAGGUGCGGUGAAAUUUGGAUUCUGCA